rnacentral:rRNA from 1 species
CAGAGCCGCGGUAAUACGAAGGGUGCAAGCGUUAAUCGGAAUUACUGGGCGUAAAGCGUGCGUAGGCGGUGAGUUAAGUCUGCUGUGAAAUCCCCGGGCUCAACCUGGGAAUGGCAGUGGAUACUGGCUCGCUAGAGUGUGUCAGAGGAUGGUGGAAUUCCCGGUGUAGCGGUGAAAUGCGUAGAGAUCGGGAGGAACAUCAGUGGCGAAGGCGGCCAUCUGGGACAACACUGACGCUGAGGCACGAAAGCGUGGGGAGCAAACAGGAUUAGAUACCCCCGUAGUCCCUGUCUCUUAUACA